GAUGAACGCUGGCGGCGUGCCUAACACAUGCAAGUCGAGCGAUUCUCUUCGGAGAAGAGCGGCGGACGGGUGAGUAACGCGUGGGUAACCUGCCCUGUACACACGGAUAACAUACCGAAAGGUAUGCUAAUACGGGAUGAUAUGAAAGAGUCGCAUGGCUUUUUCAUCAAAGCUCCGGCGGUACAGGAUGGACCCGCGUCUGAUUAGCUAGUUGGUGAGGUAAUGGCUCACCAAGGCGACGAUCAGUAGCCGACCUGAGAGGGUGAUCGGCCACAUUGGAACUGAGACACGGUCCAAACACCUACGGGUGGCUG
rnacentral:rRNA from 1 species